rnacentral:rRNA from 1 species
AUGAACGCUAGCUACAGGCUUAACACAUGCAAGUCGAGGGGCGAGCAGGAUUGUGCUUGCACAGAUGCUGGCGACCGGCGCACGGGUGAGUAACGCGUAUCCAACCUUCCCCAUAGUAGAGGAUAGCCCGGCGAAAGUCGGAUUAAUACUCUAUGUUGUGUCAUGAGGACAUCUGAAUAACACUAAAGAUUUAUCGCUAUGGGAUGGGGAUGCGUCUGAUUAGGUAGUCGGCGGGGUAACGGCCCACCGAGCCGACGAUCAGUAGGGGUUCUGAGAGGAAGGUCCCCCACAUUGGUACUGAGACACGGACCAAACUCCUACGGGAGGCAGCAGUGAGGGAUAUUGGUCAAUGGGCGCGAGCCUGAACCAGCCAAGUAGCGUGCAGGAUGAACCUGCCCUAUGGGUUGUAAACUGCUUUUAUCAGGGAAUAAAGUGAGGCACGUGUGCCUUUUUGUAUGUAUCUGAUGAAUAAGGACCGGCUAAUUCCGUGCCAGCAGCGGC